rnacentral:rRNA from 1 species
AGACCCGAAACCCGGUGAUCUAGCCAUGGGCAGGUUGAAGGUUGGGUAACACUAACUGGAGGACCGAACCGACUAAUGUUGAAAAAUUAGCGGAUGACCUGUGGCUGGGGGUGAAAGGCCAAUCAAACCGGGAGAUAGCUGGUUCUCCCCGAAAGCUAUUUAGGUAGCGCCUCGUGAAUUCAUCUCCGGGGGUAGAGCACUGUUUCGGCUAGGGGGCCAUCCCGGCUUACCAACCCGAUGCAAACUGCGAAUACCGGAGAAUGUUAUCACGGGAGACACACGGCGGGUGCUAACGUCCGUCGUGAAGAGGGAAACAACCCAGACCGCCAGCUAAGGUCCCAAAGUCAUGGUUAAGUGGGAAACGAUGUGGGAAGGCCCAGACAGCCAGGAUGUUGGCUUAGAAGCAGCCAUCAUUUAAAGAAAGCG